rnacentral:rRNA from 1 species
UACGAAGGGGGCUAGCGUUGCUCGGAAUUACUGGGCGUAAAGGGCGCGUAGGCGGGUCGUCAAGCUGGGGGUGAAAGCCCAGGGCUCAACCCUGGAACUGCCUUCAAAACUGGCGACCUAGAGUAUGGCAGAGGUGUGUGGAACUCCGAGUGUAGAGGUGAAAUGCGUAGAUAUUGGGAAGAACACCAGUGGCGAAGGCGACACACUGGGCCAUUACUGACGCUGAGGCGCGAAAGCGUGGGGAGCAAACAGG